GACGAACGCUGGCGGCGUGCUUAACACAUGCAAGUCGAACGGAAAGGCCCUGCUUUUGUGGGGUGCUCGAGUGGCGAACGGGUGAGUAACACGUGAGUAACCUGCCCUUGACUUUGGGAUAACUUCAGGAAACUGGGGCUAAUACCGGAUAGGAGCUCCUGCUGCAUGGUGGGGGUUGGAAAGUUUCGGCGGUUGGGGAUGGACUCGCGGCUUAUCAGCUUGUUGGUGGGGUAGUGGCUUACCAAGGCUUUGACGGGUAGCCGGCCUGAGAGGGUGACCGGCCACAUUGGGACUGAGAUACGGCCAAGACUCCUACGGGGGGCAGCAGUGGGGAAUAUUGCACAAUGGGCGGAAGCUUGAUGCAGCAACGCCGCGUGCGGGAUAACGGCCUUCGGGUGGUAAACCGCUUUCGCCUGUGACGAAGCGUGAGUGACGGUAAUGGGUAAAGAAGCACCGGCUAACUACGUG
rnacentral:rRNA from 1 species